ACCUACGGGUGAAAGCAGGGGAUCUUCGGACCUUGCGCGAUUGAAUGAGCCGAUGUCGGAUUAGCUAGUUGGCGGGGUAAAGGCCCACCAAGGCGACGAUCCGUAGCUGGUCUGAGAGGAUGAUCAGCCACACUGGAACUGAGACACGGUCCAGACUCCUACGGGAGGCAGCAGUGGGGAAUAUUGGACAAUGGGCGCAAGCCUGAUCCAGCCAUACCGCGUGGGUGAAGAAGGCCUUCGGGUUGUAAAGCCCUUUUGUUGGGAAAGAAAUCCAGCUGGCUAAUACCCGGUUGGGAUGACGGUACCCAAAGAAUAAGCACCGGCUAACUUCGUGCCAGCAGCCGCGGUAAUACGAAGGGUGCAAGCGUUACUCGGAAUUACUGGGCGUAAAGCGUGCGUAGGUGGUCGUUUAAGUCCGUUGUGAAAGCCCUGGGCUCAACCUGGGAACUGCAGUGGAUACUGGGCGACUAGAGUGUGGUAGAGGGUAGCGGAAUUCCUGGUGUAGCAGUGAAAUGCGUAGAGAUCAGGAGGAACAUCCAUGGCGAAGGCAGCUACCUGGACC
rnacentral:rRNA from 1 species